CGGGACGGGUGGGUAACGCGUGGGUAACCGUGCCUCAUACAGGGGAGUAACAGUUGGAAACGACUGCUAAUACCGCAUAAGCGCACAGGAUCGCAUGAUCCGGUGUGAAAAACUCCGGUGGUAUGAGAUGGACCCGCGUCUGAUUAGCCAGUUGGCAGGGUAACGGCCUACCAAAGCGACGAUCAGUAGCCGACCUGAGAGGGUGACCGGCCACAUUGGGACUGAGACACGGCCCAA
rnacentral:rRNA from 1 species